AGGCCAGGAAGACAGGUACAGCCCUGUCGGUGUCAAAGAAGAACACCGGUAGCAGAAGAGCUAAGAGUGAAUGAAAAUGGAAUUAUCUUUACUUCUAGGACUUGUCUAUUGAGAAACAGCAGCGCUGGCAACCAUUUACUACCAACAAGAGGCAGUUGCAAGAGAAGAAUAUAAAAUAUGCUCUGCUCAACCCCACAAAACUCAGAGUGUCUCACAAUGGCCAAUUUAUUAUUUUUACCCUGUCCAGUGACAUGGAAGGAUGCAUCAGGGAGCUGCUAGCCUCUGCGAUGAAUAACUUAAGUCAGGCUGCAACAUGUGAAAUAAUUCAGCUGACCAGGAUUUAUAACACUAGCUAGAUUUUUUGCUUUCUUUGGGGUUCAUGAAGCAUGGUGUUGUGAGAUACCACAGGAGUCCCGGUUACUGCCUGAAUACAGGUUAAAUAUGUUAAUAUUCACUGAUUGGAGGAAAGUACCAUGAGCAAAUC
rnacentral:lncRNA from 1 species